rnacentral:rRNA from 1 species
UGGUGGGUAGUUUGACUGGGGCGGUCUCCUCCUAAAGAGUAACGGAGGAGCACGAAGGUCAGCUAAUCCUGGUCGGACAUCAGGAGGUUAGUGCAAUGGCAUAAGCUGGCUUGACUGCGAGCGUGACGGCGCGAGCAGGUGCGAAAGCAGGUCAUAGUGAUCCGGUGGUUCUGAAUGGAAGGGCCAUCGCUCAACGGAUAAAAGGUACUCCGGGGAUAACAGGCUGAUACCGCCCAAGAGUUCAUAUCGACGGCGGUGUUUGGCACCUCGAUGUCGGCUCAUCACAUCCUGGGGCUGAAGUAGGUCCCAAGGGUAUGGCUGUUCGCCAUUUAAAGUGGUACGCGAGCUGGGUUUAGAACGUCGUGAGACAGUUCGGUCCCUAUCUGCCGUGGGCGCUGGAGAACUGAGGGGGGCUGCUCCUAGUACGAGAGGACCGGAGUGGACGCAUCACUGGUGUUCGGGUUGUCAUGCCAAUGGCACUGCCCGGUAGCUAAAUGCGGAAGAGAUAAGUGCUGAAAGCAUCUAAGCACGAAACUUGCCCCGAGAUGAGUUCUCCCUGACCCUUUAAGGGUCCUGAAGGAACGUUGAAGACGACGACGUUGAUAGGCCGGGUGUGUAAGCGCAGCGAUGCGUUGAGCUAACCGGUACUAAUGAACCGUGAGGCUUAACCUUACAACGCCGAAGGUGUUU